GACGGAGGAUGCAAGCGUUAUCCGGAAUUAUUGGGCGUAAAGCGUCCGCAGGUGGCUUUUCAAGUCUGUUGUCAAAGCGCGGGGCUUAACUCCGUACAGGCAAUGGAAACUGUGAAGCUAGAGUAUGGUAGGGGUAGAGGGAAUUCCCGGUGUAGCGGUGAAAUGCGUAGAUAUCGGGAAGAACACCGGUGGCGAAAGCGCUCUGCUAGGCCGCAACUGACACUGAGGGACGAAAGCUAGGGGAGCGAAUGGG
rnacentral:rRNA from 1 species